AGAGUUUGAUCCUGGCUCAGGAUGAACGCUAGCUACAGGCUUAACACAUGCAAGUCGAGGGGAAACGAUAUUGGAAGCUUGCUUCCGAUAGGCGUCGACCGGCGCACGGGUGAGUAACGCGUAUCCAACCUGCCCACCACUUGGGGAUAACCUUGCGAAAGUAAGACUAAUACCCAAUGAUAUCUCUAGAAGACAUCUGAAAGAGAUUAAAGGUUUAUCGGUGAUGGAUGGGGAUGCGUCUGAUUAGCUUGUUGGCGGGGUAACGGCCCACCAAGGCAACGAUCAGUAGGGGUUCUGAGGGGAAGGUCCCCCACAUUGGAACUGAGACACGGUCCAAACUCCUACGGGAGGCAGCAGUGAGGAAUAUUGGUCAAUGGACGAGAGUCUGAACCAGCCAAGUAGCGUGCAGGAAGACGGCCCUAUGGGUUGUAAACUGCUUUUAUAAGGGAAUAAAGUGAGAGUCGUGACUCUUUUUGCAUGUACCUUAUGAAUAAGGACCGGCUAAUUCCGUGCCAGCAGCCGCGGUAAUACGGAAGGUCCGGGCGUUAUCCGGAUUUAUUGGGUUUAAAGGGAGCGUAGGCCGGAGAUUAAGCGUGUUGUGAAAUGUAGACGCUCAACGUCUGCACUGCAGCGCGAACUGGUUUCCUUGAGUACGCACAAAGUGGGCGGAAUUCGUGGUGUAGCGGUGAAAUGCUUAGAUAUCACGAAGAACUCCGAUUGCGAAGGCAGCUCACUGGAGCGCAACUGACGCUGAAGCUCGAAAGUGCGGGUAUCGAACAGGAUUAGAUACCCUGGUAGUCCGCACGGUAAACGAUGGAUGCCCGCUGUUGGUCUGAAUAGGUCAGCGGCCAAGCGAAAGCAUUAAGCAUCCCACCUGGGGAGUACGCCGGCAACGGUGAAACUCAAAGGAAUUGACGGGGGCCCGCACAAGCGGAGGAACAUGUGGUUUAAUUCGAUGAUACGCGAGGAACCUUACCCGGGCUUGAAUUGCAGAGGAAGGAUUUGGAGACAAUGACGCCCUUCGGGGCCUCUGUGAAGGUGCUGCAUGGUUGUCGUCAGCUCGUGCCGUGAGGUGUCGGCUUAAGUGCCAUAACGAGCGCAACCCCUCUCCUUAGUUGCCAUCAGGUUAAGCUGGGCACUCUGGGGACACUGCCACCGUAAGGUGUGAGGAAGGUGGGGAUGACGUCAAAUCAGCACGGCCCUUACGUCCGGGGCUACACACGUGUUACAAUGGCAGGU
rnacentral:rRNA from 1 species